UCAGCAUCAGCUAGUGCUAGCUAACGUUAACGUUAGUUUGUGGUGACUUUGCCUGGAACGCUACGAAGUCGUGAGUCGUGACUUGAAGUCGUAACUUAAGGGCUAAAAAUUGUGUCUGGAACAAAGCAU